AAGUCGUAACAAGGUUUCCGUAGGUGAACCUGCGGAAGGAUCAUUACCGAGUGAGGGCCCUCUGGGUCCAACCUCCCACCCGUGUUUAUUUUACCUUGUUGCUUCGGCGAGCCUGCCUUCGGGCUGCCGGGGGGCAUCUGCCCCCGGGUCCGCGCUCGCCGGAGACACCUUGAACUCUGUCUGAAGAUUGUAGUCUGAGACAAAAUAUAAAUUAUUUAAAA
rnacentral:misc_RNA from 1 species